rnacentral:rRNA from 1 species
UACGAAGGGGGCUAGCGUUGCUCGGAAUCACUGGGCGUAAAGCGCACGUAGGCGGCUUUCUAAGUCAGGGGUGAAAUCCUGGAGCUCAACUCCAGAACUGCCUUUGAUACUGGAGAGCUAGAGUCCGGGAGAGGUGAAUGGAACUGCGAGUGUAGAGGUGAAAUUCGUAGAUAUUCGCAAGAACACCAGUGGCGAAGGCGGCUCACUGGCCCGGUACUGACGCUGAGGUGCGAAAGCGUGGGGAGCAAACAGG